UACGUAGGGCGCAAGCGUUGUCCGGAAUUAUUGGGCGUAAAGCGCUCGUAGGCGGCUUGUCGCGUCGGAUGUGAAAGCCCGGGGCUUAACUCCGGGUCUGCAUUCGAUACGGGCAGGCUAGAGUUCGGUAGGGGAGAUCGGAAUUCCUGGUGUAGCGGUGAAAUGCGCAGAUAUCGGGAGGAACACCGGUGGCGAAGGCGGAUCUCUGGGCCGAUACUGACGCUGAGGAGCGAAAGCGUGGGGAGCGAACAGG
rnacentral:rRNA from 1 species